rnacentral:rRNA from 1 species
AACGAACGCUGGCGGCAGGCUUAACACAUGCAAGUCGAACGCCCGUAGCAAUACGGGAGUGGCAGACGGGUGAGUAACGCGUGGGAACAUACCCUCCGGUUCGGAAUAACUCAGGGAAACUUGAGCUAAUACCGGAUACGGCCGGGAGGCGAAAGAUUUAUCGCCGGAGGAUUGGCCCGCGUCCGAUUAGCUAGUUGGUGGGGUAACGGCCUACCAAGGCGACGAUCGGUAGCUGGUCUGAGAGGAUGAUCAGCCACAUUGGGACUGAGACACGGCCCAAACUCCUACGGGAGGCAGCAGUGGGGAAUAUUGGACAAUGGGCGCAAGCCUGAUCCAGCCAUGCCGCGUGAGUGAUGACGGCCUUAGGGUUGUAAAGCUCUUUCGCUCGGGACGAUAAUGACGGUACCGAGAGAAGAAGCCCCGGCUAACUUCGUG